AAAACUUAUUUUUGCCUGUCUUACUGGUACAAGUUUUUACAAAGUAUAAUCAAAGUGGAGUUAUACCGACUAAAUAGAGAGCAACACUUUUUAAGGACUUGACUGCCUUGCUGGGUGGAGAUAUUCUGACCCGAGCACUGCGAAUUGUUGAUGAAUGACGCAACUCAGCACAAGUGGUGCGUAUUUUGCCCGAAGUUAAGUAUUGCAAGUGUGCGUGCUUUCAAGAAAACG